GAUGAACGCUGGCGGCGUGCCUAAUACAUGCAAGUCGAACGCAUAGCGAAAGGUGCUUGCACCUUUCAAGUGAGUGGCGAACGGGUGAGUAACACGUGGACAACCUGCCUCAAGGCUGGGGAUAACAUUUGGAAACAGAUGCUAAUACCGAAUAAAACUUAGUGUCGCAUGACACAAAGUUAAAAGGCGCUUCGGCGUCACCUAGAGAUGGAUCCGCGGUGCAUUAGUUAGUUGGUGGGGUAAAGGCCUACCAAGACAAUGAUGCAUAGCCGAGUUGAGAGACUGAUCGGCCACAUUGGGACUGAGACACGGCCCAAACUCCUACGGGAGGCUGCAGUAGGGAAUCUUCCACAAUGGGCGAAAGCCUGAUGGAGCAACGCCGCGUGUGUGAUGAAGGCUUUCGGGUCGUAAAGCACUGUUGUAUGGGAAGAACAGCUAGAAUGGGAAAUGAUUUUAGUUUGACGGUACCAUACCAGAAAGGGACGGCUAAAUACGUG
rnacentral:rRNA from 1 species